UACGAAGGGGCUAGCGUUGCUCGGAAUCACUGGGCGUAAAGGGUGCGUAGGCGGGUCUUUAAGUCAGGGUGAAAUCCUGGAGCUCAACUCCAGAACUGCCUUUGAUACUGAGGAUCUUGAGUUCGGGAGAGGUGAGUGGAACUGCGAGUGUAGAGGUGAAAUUCGUAGAUAUUCGCAAGAACACCAGUGGCGAAGGCGGCUCACUGGCCCGAGUACUGACGCUGAGGCACGAAAGCGUGGGAGCAAACAGG
rnacentral:rRNA from 1 species